UCAGAGUUAAGUGAUUUGCCCAGGAUCACACACCUAGUAAGUGUCAAGUGUAUGAGCUCUCAUUUAAACUCCUGAAAACAGCCAAGACACUUGCCUUGUGCCAAACGCUGUACUAGAGGAUGGGAAUUAAAAAAGAAAAAGGAAAAGGUGAAAACAACCCUCUUGACUAGGACUUUAUGUUCGAAGGGGAGCAGAUAAAGAAUUGAGUCUUUGAAGGGAACCGGGAAUAAUACAAGCCAGAGAUGAUAAGGGAGGACAUUCUGGGUAUCAGAAGCAGCAUACACAAAGGGAUGGACACAAAAAUGGCACCUGGUCUUCCCUGCUUGAAAAUCCUGCUUAUUCUUCAAGCUGUCCCUCUAGCCACCUCAUCUCCUUGGCAGAUCUCUCCUCAGGCUCCAUAGCCGGAGAUGACCUUUGCUUCCUUUGAGGUAACUAAAGCACACUCCUGCUGUGUGCCUCUCUCAGAGCACAGGUCAUACUAUAUCUCCUUUCAGUUAUGUUGCUGCACAAGAAAAAUUGGAUCAAGAAGGGAAAAAAAUGACAAAGAAAACAAAAUGUAAGCAAACAAUAACAGAGAAAGUGAGAAUGCUAUCGUGUGGUUCAUACUUGAUUCCCACAAUCCUCUCUCUGGGUGCAGAUGGCUCUCUCCAUCACCAGAUCAUUGGAACUGGCCUGAAUCAUCUCAUUGUUGAAAAGAGCCAUGUUCAUCAGAAUUGAUCAUCAUAUAGUCUUGCUGUUGCCGUGUACAGUGAUCUCCUGGUUCUGCUCACUUUACUCAGCAUCAGUUCAUGUGAAUAUUAAAUGUAAGUCAAGGUCACCUGUCCAGGAAAAAAGGAUUCUCUGCUAAAUCCCCGAUGAGGUAAAAAUUAAGGGCCGACCUGAGAGAAUAAAAAAGAGGUUCAAGCUAUGCAACAAGAGAACUGUUCGGUUCUGCAAACAUAUAUUGUCUCUAGGAUAUACUGCAACAUAUCCAACAUAUAAAGGACUGCUUGCCAUCUAGGGGAGGGGGUGAAGGGAGGGAGGGGAAAAAAAUUGGAACAGAAAUGAGUGCAAAGGAUAAUGUUGUAAAAAAAAAAAAAAUCACCCUGGCAUGGAUUCUGUCAAUAUAAAGUAAUUAUUAAAUAAAAAUUAAAAAAAAAAAAAGGUUCAAGAAAAUUCAUUUGUUCAUUCAUUCCAAGAGGCAGCCUGCCCACAAGAUGGGACACUGGAUUUGGAGCUAGGAAGAAAUAGGUUCAAGUGCUUUCCCAGACACAUCACUUUUUGGACCCGGCUAUAUUUUCUGAAAAUUAUGAGUCUGGAUUUAAUUGUCUCGGGGCAGCUAGGAGGGACCUUGGAUAGACGGAUGGAUCUAUAGUCAAGAAGACUGAUCUUCAUGAGUUUAAAUCCAGCCUUAGACACUUACUACCUGAAUGAUCCUGGGCAAGUCCCUUCAACCUGUGUGUUUCAGUUUCCUUCUCUGUAAAAUGGGCUCGAGAGGAAAUGGCAAAGCAGUCUAGGAUCUUUGCCAAGACAAGUCCAAAUGGGGUCAUGAAGAGCCGGCGACAACUGAAAAAUGACUAAACAACAGCAACAACAAUUUAAUUGUAUCUGUGGUCUUUUGCAGCUCUGGGAAACGCAUGACUCGGGAGUUCACAUCCAUGCUCUGAGAUAGAAUAUCUUGUGAUCUUAGGGAAAUAUUUGGACUUCAUAUUUUUUCAUCUAUAAAAUAAAGGGAAUGGACUAGA